AUUCACCUGACGAGUUCCAAAUAGUACGAAAAGCGUAUCUUGGAU
rnacentral:hammerhead_ribozyme from 1 species